rnacentral:rRNA from 1 species
CAGUAGCCGCGGUAACACGUAGGGUGCGAGCGUUAAUCGGAAUUACUGGGCGUAAAGCGUGCGCAGGCGGUUGUGUAAGACAGGUGUGAAAUCCCCGGGCUUAACCUGGGAACUGCGCUUGUGACUGCACAGCUAGAGUAUGGCAGAGGGGGGUGGAAUUCCACGUGUAGCAGUGAAAUGCGUAGAGAUGUGGAGGAACACCGAUGGCGAAGGCAGCCCCCUGGGCCAAUACUGACGCUCAUGCACGAAAGCGUGGGGAUCAAACAGGAUUAGAUACCCCGGUAGUCCCUGUCUCUUAUAC